rnacentral:rRNA from 1 species
AUUGAACGCUGGCGGCAGGCUUAACACAUGCAAGUCGAGCGGUAGCACAGGGCUUCUUGCUCCCUGGGGGGCGAGCGGCGGGCGGGUGGGCAAUGUCUGUGACACUGCCUGAUGGAGGAGGAUAACUACUGGAAACGGUUGCUACUACCGCAUAACGGCGCAAGACCAAGGAGGGGGAGAUUCCGGGCUCUUGCCUUCAGCUAUGCCCAGAUCGGAUUAGCUAGUAGGUGGGGUAAUGGCUCACCUAGGCGACGAUCCCUAGCUGGUCUGAGAGGAUGACCAGCCACACUGGAACUGAGACACGGUCCAGACUCCUACGGGAGGCAGCAGUGGGGAAUAUUGGACAAUGGGCGAAAGCCUGAUGCAGCCAUGCCGCGUGUGUGAAGAAGGUCUUCGGGUUGUAAAGCACUUUAAGCGGGGAGGAAGGGGAUUAGCUUAAUACGUUCCUCAAUUGACGUUACUCGCAGAAGAAGCACCGGCUAACUCCGUG